GACGAACGCUGGCGGCGUGCUCAACACAUGCAAGUCGAACGGUAAGGCCCUUCGGGGUACACGAGUGGCGAACGGGUGAGUAACACGCGGGUGAUCUGCCCUGCACUUCGGGAUAAGCCUGGGAAACUGGGUCUAAUACCGGAGAGGACCACUGCCUGCAUGGGUGGUGGUGGAAAGCUUUUGCGGUGUGGGAUGGGCCCGCGGCCUAUCAGCUUGUUGGUGGGGUGAUGGCCUACCAAGGCGACGACGGGUCGCCGGCCUGAGAGGGUGACCGGCCACCCUGGGCCUGGGAUACGGCCCAGACUCCUACGGGAGGCAGCAGUGGGGAAUAUUGCACAAUGGGCGCAAGCCUGAUGCAGCGACGCCGCGUGAGGGAUGACGGCCUUCGGGUUGUAAACCUCUUUCAGCACCGACGAAGCGCAAGUGACGGUAGGUGCAGAAGAAGGACCGGCCAACUACGUGCCAGCAGCCGCCGUAA
rnacentral:rRNA from 1 species